rnacentral:rRNA from 1 species
UACGUAGGGGGCUAGCGUUGUCCGGAAUCAUUGGGCGUAAAGAGCGUGUAGGCGGUCCGGUAAGUCCGCUGUGAAAGUCGGGGGCUCAACCCUCGAAUGCCGGUGGAUACUGUCGGGCUAGAGUGCGGAAGGGGCGAGUGGAAUUCCUGGUGUAGCGGUGAAAUGCGCAGAUAUCAGGAGGAACACCAAUGGCGAAGGCAGCUCGCUGGGACGGUACUGACGCUGAGGCGCGAAAGCCAGGGGAGCAAACGGG